rnacentral:rRNA from 1 species
UAGGGAAUAUUGGACAAUGGGGGCAACCCUGAUCCAGCCAUGCCGCGUGAGUGAAGAAGGCCCUCGGGUUGUAAAGCUAUUUUGUCCGGAAAGAAAAGCAUUCGGUGAAUACCCGGAUGUUCUGACGGUACCGGAAGAAUAAGCACCGGCUAACUUCGUGCCAGCAGCCGCGGUAAUACGAAGGGUGCAAGCGUUACUCGGAAUUACUGGGCGUAAAGCGUGCGUAGGUGGUUGUUUAAGUCUGAUGUGAAAGCCCUGGGCUCAACCGGGGAAUGGCAUUGGAAACUGGGCAUAUAGAGUGCGGUAGGGGGUAGUGGAAUUCCCGGUGUAGCAGUGAAAUGUGUAGAGAUCGGGAGGAACAUCUGUGGCGAAGGCGACUGCCUGGACCAGCACUGACACUGAGGCACGAAAGCGUGGGGAGCAAACA